rnacentral:rRNA from 1 species
GAUGAACGCUGGCGGCGUGCCUAAUACAUGCAAGUCGAGCGAACAGACGAGGAGCUUGCUCCUCUGACGUUAGCGGCGGACGGGUGAGUAACACGUGUAUAACCUACCUAUAAGACUGGGAUAACUUCGGGAAACCGGAGCUAAUACCGGAUAAUAUAUUGAACCGCAUGGUUCAAUAGUGAAAGACGGUUUUGCUGUCACUUAUAGAUGGAUCCGCGCCGCAUUAGCUAGUUGGUAAGGUAACGGCUUACCAAGGCAACGAUGCGUAGCCGACCUGAGAGGGUGAUCGGCCACACUGGAACUGAGACACGGUCCAGACUCCUACGGGAGGCAGCAGUAGGGAAUCUGCCGCAAUGGGCGAAAGCCUGACGGAGCAACGCCGCGUGAGUGAUGAAGGUCUUCGGAUCGUAAAACUCUGUUAUUAGGGAAGAACAAAUGUGUAAGUAACUAUGCACGUCUUGACGGUACCUAAUCAGAAAGCAACGGCUAACUACGUG